GGCGUCAUAGCUCAGUUGGGAGAGCAGCAGACUGAAGUUAUUCAGUGACAUCUGAAGGUCCGGUGUUCGAGCCACCGUGAUGCCA